rfam:Populus trichocarpa scaffold_16_contig_45, whole genome shotgun sequence.
UAAUCUGUCUAGAGCAUAUUCUCGUUUAGCUAUGACAAAUCCACACUUAAUUAUUUUAAAUCACCCGUUAUUGCAAGUCCGACUACAUUAACUUCUUUCUCCCGCUGAAUCUGAUUCAACAUUUGCUCUUUCUAUGAUA